CAGCCAUAGAACAUUCAUUAAUUCUUUCUACGACUUCGGAUGAUCUAAGAGGCGUUGAGUAUGAUGUGACUGCAGAAGAAUCUCCCAAAGGCUGAGUAGCAAUAAUAGGUUGAAUAAUCUCUGAAUGUUGCAUCGAACUAGAAGAAGUUGGUUGUAGCUGAUUUGGUGCACGAAUCCACUCAUCACAAUCUGAGUUGUACUAAACUCCCCCUGUGUAUCAACACUUUUAGAUAAAUUGGUGAGAUCAGUAUAUGGCAAAACAUACUCAUCAAACACCACGUGUCUAGAAAUGAACACCCUUUGUGUUGGCGGAUGUAAACAUCGAUAUCCUUUGUGUAGUGGACUAUAACCAAUGAAAACACAUGGCAGUGAGUCAGGUUGGAGCUUGUUGGAUGCAUAAUUUCUUAAAUAUGGAAAACACCGACACCCAAAGACCUUGAGAAAGGAGUAAUCUAGCUUUUUCCCAAAUAAUUGUUGGAAAGGUGUGCUUGAGUUUAGAACAGGAGUGGGGAGCCUAUUAAUUAGGUAUGUUGCUAUUGAAAAGCUUUCAACCCAGAACCUUUGUGGCAUAUUAGCAUGAAGCAUCAUCGUUAGCCCUGUUUCGACAACAUGGCGAUGCUUUCUUUCGGCAAUGCCAUUUUGUUCCGGAGUCCCUGGGCAAGAAAUUUGUUGGCGAAUACCACACUGGGCUAAAUGUUCAAGAAAUUCAGCUUUAGCAAAACUCUCCUCCGCCAUCACAUUGAAAGAUUUUGAUAGUUCUUUCAAAUUGAUUCUCAAUCAACCGUUGAAAUUUCAGAAAGCAAUUAAAGAAAUUAGAUUUCUUUUUGAGUGGAUAAAACCAAGUAAAUCUACUAAAAUCAUCUACAAAGAUAACAUAGUAUUAGAAAGUUUGGACAGAACAGAUAGGUGAAGGACCCUAUAAGUCGCAAUGUAUUUUCUCAAAAGGAAACUUAGACCUUUCAUUUUUGAGAGAAAAAGGAAGUUUACAACUUUUUCCCAUUUGACAGCUAGUGCAAAGACCAACUAACUGGUCUAGUCCACGAAGAAACCUUUAUUACAUUAUUGGAAGCUAAAGUUUGUAGAAUAUGAGAAUGCGGAUGUCCUAAUCGAUAAUGCCAAAUUGAAUCUUCUGCCUUUCCUGCUUUGAGAAGUGCAAGUGCAUAUUCUUCUCCUUCCUCUAGUGCGUAAAGCUUUUCUUUCUUAGUUCCUUUAGCUAGAAUCUUUUGUGUUACUGGAUCCUUUAUCACAAAACCAGUUGAUGAGAAUACAAAAAUUAACACAUGAAUUUUCUUCAGUAAAUUGACUAACAGAUAGCAAAUUCUUUUUCAAUUCAGGUACUACUAACACAUUGUUCAAUUUAACAGAUCCAAUUGAUGUUGAUCCAGUAUGUGUAAUAGGAAGAGCAGUCCCAUCACCAGUAUAGACUUUUGUUUUACCAUGAUAUGGAUAUUUAGAAUGAAGAAUACCUGCGUCUGAUGUCAUAUGAGCUGUAGCUGCAGUAUCGGCAUAGAAGGUUGGAUCUUUAUCAUUUGGCAAAGACAUUGCAGCGGCUUGUGGCAGAUCUUUGCUUUGAUAUGCAUGAUCAAAUCUGUAGAAGCAUUUGAGAGCAAUAUGACCAGAUAUACCACAAAUUUGGCAAGAAACUUCACCUUGAUUGGGUUGUUGCUGAUUUUUUCGUUGAAAAUUUUCUUGUUGAGAUUGUGGAGUAGUAUUUGUGAAGAAGUUUCUAUUGUUUCGACCGCCCUAGUUAUUGUAGGUUCCAGA
rnacentral:lncRNA from 1 species